rnacentral:tRNA from 1 species
GCCUGGGUGGCUCGGUUGGUUAAGCGUCUGACUUCGGCUCAGGUCAUGAUCUCGUAGUUCGUGGGUUCGAGCCCCACGCCAGGCU